AGCGCCUUUGUUACCGGCUCUCUGGAGCUGGGGAUGGAGAAAUACCUGACCCCCGCUCCCUCCCUCCCUCUCUCCCUCCUCUCCGGCCCCUUGGUGCACAACCAUUCCAAGUAUGUGACCGUGCAGCGAGGCUUGGUGGGGACGUGGGGACAGCAGCAGGAGCAGCCACCAACGGAGGGGUCCGGGCUUCAAAAAUACGACCUUCCCCAGUAGCCAACUGGGGCUGGGAGGUUGUAACCUGCAUGCAGCACUGGGCCAAACAUCCCUGCAGCACCCGGGUUUGGCUGGUGGUGGCCCAUGGUGGCGUGGGGAGGAGAGGAUGGUGUGGGUGAUGCCGCGGUGGCUGCCGUCCCCAGCCCCUGGCGUCGUGCCCUUCCCGUGGAGAGGAUGCCGCACUGCCAAAGGUCUCCCCGGGGGUGCUCCCGAGCCUCUCCUGCCCCAGGGGAUGCCCCAGUUCACCUUCGCUUGCUUCUGCGGGCUCCAUGGCUUCUGCAAGAUGAAGAGGAAGAAAGAAGAGUCCAGCGCGGAGCAGGAGACGGCAGUGUGAGGAGAGGACUCGUGUGUGUGCCCUGCUGAGCCGUGCCUCGGGACCCCCUGUCCCCUUCCCCUCGAUACUUGCAUGGCUGGGGGAGAGCCCGAGCACGGGAAUGACCUUGCUGAGAUGUAGAAGCAGGUGCUGUGGAUGUUAUCAAGGUGCUGCACCAAUUCUACCCCCUGACACUCAGCCCAGCCAGGCAUGGAGCCCUGGGGAGCCGAGCAGCUGCUGUCGGAGGGACCCUGGGUCCCAGCCGGGUAGAGAUUUCCCUCCUGAGCGAGUCGACCUGCCCUUGCUCCAACAAGUCUCAACAGACAGACCUGGAGAGGUUUCCAAAAGCCGGGGCCAGACCCUGUCCCUCCUGGAGUCGUGGUGCCGGAGAGGCUGGUCCCUGGCUGCUAUCACCUGAAAAUCACCGCCUUUUCUCCCUCGCGAGGGCAGGAUUUUUUCCCAGCUGCUCGACGUUCCCGUGCUGACCCGCUGCCCUCCUGGGGGAUUGAGCAGAGAAAUACCGAGGGCAGCCUGAUAAAAUCUGCAGGGUCACGGUCCGGCUCCAUCCUCCCAGCCCGUCCCUGCUCGCCUCUGCCUUCCAAAAACAACCCGUCUUUGUGGCUGCCCCAAAACACGGCAUUUUCCAGAAGGUUACCGGGAGGACAGAGCGCAGGCAGCUCCAGGUGGGCACAGGGAAGCUCACGCUGCUUUGGGAAAAUGCUGACCUUGUUCUAUUCCUAUUUUUGCACAUCAGCACAGCCUCCCGAAUUCAGGGUUUGCAGCCCCGGUGCUGUCCUUGGCGAGGACCUUUGGAGUUAUCUUUGGGCCAAAAAAAAAAAGAAAAAAAAAAAAAAAAAGAAGGAAGUUGGUGAAACACGAAGCGUAUUUUUUGAAUGUAACUUUAUUUUUGCACAGUUUCCCCCUGUAACGUGUGGUGACCCCGUGGUGAUGCACUCGUGGACUUCAACCACCAGGGAUUAACCACUGCCCUGGAGUUUAUUCCAAGUGUAAAGAUACGGGUGAAACUCAACCUUUGCUUUAUGCUGGUCUAAAUCCAGAGAGACAGUCUGUGUACCGAGGUGUCUACAAAAAUAUUAAUUUAUACAAAAAUAUUAAUUAUGCAGAGAUGAGCUUGGACUGGACCCCAACACUCAGAUUUCUCCUGGAUGUGUCUCAGACCCAACCCUAUGCAAAAGCAGGUACGCAACAAGCACAAGGAGGAGAAGAGGGGGUUACAGCAGGCACACGCUCAGGAAGCCCUGAGUCAACACAGCCCCGCUUAAAUUUUAGUGUUUGCUUUGGGAUUUUGCUCGAUCCGAUAAAUUUGCCUAAUUCCCCCCUAAUAAAACUGUAUCGAUCCCUGCGGAAGUGCA
rnacentral:lncRNA from 1 species